GGUGACUAGUGACAGCGUUAGGGAGGGAAGGGGUGACUAGUGACAGAGUGAGGGGUGACUAGGGACAGAGUGAGGGAGGUGGUGACUAGUGACAGUCACCACCUCCCUCACUCUGUCACUAGUCACCACCUCCCUCACUGUGUCACCCCCUCCCUCUGUCACUGGUUACCCACUCCCUCCCUCACUCUGUCACCAGUCACCCCUUCCUUCCCUCUGUCACUAGUCAACC